GCCAGUUUUUAUGGUUAGCUUCCCGUUUAUCUAUAUAAUAACCAAGGAUUGGGGAACCUCCACUGUACUUUGGUGCUUUCCAGCCAAGGGUCAUUGAAUGACCAUCACAGUUCAGAAGCGUGAUGCCAUGAGGAUACGAUGGGCAAGUAAGGGCUGCUUGUACUUUUAUAGCCUCUGACUCCUGUGAGUUUUCACUGAAUCCUACAGCAUUCACAGCUUUCACACGGAAGAUGUACUGUUCACCAGUUUCCAAACCAUGAACAACAAAUCUGUUAUAGUUAAUAGGUUUGUGGUUAGCAGGUUCCCAUUGAUUAGAUCCCACCACAGAAUAGUCAAUGUAGUAGCCGUACAAAUUCUCUUCAUGUUUUGGUUUGUCCCAUUGGACUACAACUGAUGUUUUUGUAUUCCUUGUGGCCACCACCCGACCAGGGGCUGAUGGAACAACAACAAUAUCUUGUGGUUGAAUAGGUUCUGUGAUUUCAGAUGGAUCACUGAUGCCGU
rnacentral:lncRNA from 1 species